UGGGGAAUAUUGCACAAUGGGCGAAAGCCUGAUGCAGCGACGCCGCGUGAGGGACGAAGGUCUUCGGAUUGUAAACCUCUUUCAGCAGGGACGAAGCGAAAGUGACUGUACCUGCAGAAGAAGCACCGGCUAACUACGUGCCAGCAGCCGCGGUAAUACGUAGGGGGCAAGCGUUGUCCGGAUUUACUGGGUGUAAAGGGCGCGCAGGCGGGAUAAAAAGUCAGUGGUGAAAUCCUACAGCUUAACUGUAGAACUGCCUUUGAUACUUUUAUUAUUGAGUUCGGGAGAGAGAGACGGAAUUCCAGGUUUAGUGGUGAAAUACGUAGAUAUCUGGAAGAACACCAGUUGCGAAGGCGGUCUCUUGGUCCGACACUGAC
rnacentral:rRNA from 1 species